CCCAGUUUAGUAGAUAUCCAUGGCUCUGAUCAAUUUUUCUCUCUUAACCAGGAACCAUCUGUUGGAUCUGGCAACUUUGUUUGCCAAGUGAGUAUCAAAUAAUUCAAUAAUAAAACACCAGUCCCUUGAUAUAACAUAUGAUCUAUUUUCCCUUUCUAAAAUGCUGACUUGAUUUGAUAACUUGACUUUUAUCUCUUAACCAGGAACCAACAGAAAUCCCUGGCAACAAUAACUGCCAGGAGGAGGAGCCAGAGCAGAAAAUGGAGCCGGCUAUUAACAUCUGCCAUGAGACUCCAGAAUUCCCUGAUAAUAACAUCUGUC